CACGUAGGGUGCGAGCGUUGUCCGGAAUUAUUGGGCGUAAAGAGCUCGUAGGCGGUGUGUCGCGUCGGCCGUGAAACCUGCAGCUUAACUGUGGGCUUGCGGUCGAUACGGGCAUCACUGGAGUUCGGCAGGGGAGACUGGAAUUCCUGGUGUAGCAGUGAAUGCGUAGAGAUCAGGAGGAAUACCGAUGGCGAAGGCAGGUCUCUGGGCUGAUACUGACGCUCAUGCACGAA
rnacentral:rRNA from 1 species